rnacentral:rRNA from 1 species
UGGGGAAUCUUGGACAAUGGGGGCAACCCUGAUCCAGCCAUGCCGCGUGAGUGAUGAAGGCCUUAGGGUCGUAAAGCUCUUUCGCCUGUGAAGAUAAUGACGGUAGCAGGUAAAGAAACCCCGGCUAACUCCGUGCCAGCAGCCGCGGUAAUACGGAGGGGGUUAGCGUUGUUCGGAAUUACUGGGCGUAAAGCGCACGUAGGCGGACCAGAAAGUUGGGGGUGAAAUCCCGGGGGCUCAACCCCGGAACUGCCUCCAAAACUAUUGGUCUAGAGUUCGAGAGAGGUGAGUGGAAUUCCAAGUGUAGAGGUGAAAUUCGUAGAUAUUUGGAGGAACACCAGUGGCGAAGGCGGCUCACUGGCUCGAUACUGACGCUGAGGUGCGAAAGUGUGGGGAGCAAACAGGAUUAGAUACCCCUGGUAGUCCACACCGUAAAACGAUGAAUGCCAGUCGUCGGGUAGCAUGCCUGUCGGUGACGCAGCUAACGCAUUAAGCACUCCGCCUGGGGAGUACGGCCGCAGGUUAAAACUCAAAUGAAUUG